AAAUUUUGAAUUCGUCUAUUUUUAUGAGGAAAAAAUUGUAAAAUGCUAAGUUCAAGAUCUUUGGGAUUGGUAUUUUGACUACUUUGUAUGGACAUUCUUUAAAUAGUGCACUGUGCACAAAUUUGGUUGAGAAUGCACAUUUAGUUAAGUAUUUUAGUAUAUCCCUAUUCGUUCAAGCUAUAUAUACUGUCCUGUCUGUCCACUUUAUUUUGCAAGUCAUCUAAAUAUUUAAGUGGUAGCCAAAGAAAUUCAUUUUCAGGUGAUUGAUUAGUUUUUGUAGAUGUGUAUGAAUUUUGAUCUCUCCCCUGAAGCUAAGCUGAAGUGAAGUGAUAAUUCUGUUGAACAUGAAUUGUUAGAUAUCAAAUGAAUUCCAAACUUUAAGACUUCGUUUCAAUAUGAAGGGAUAUGUUAAGAUUCGAGCAUUGAUUGGUGUAUACAAUUAAAAGAAUGUCUUUGUGCUUGCAUGAUGAACUGGGUUGAAAAAUUUUGAAAAUAUUAAAUGUUUCCCUCAGCUUGUUGUGAUCCUCCUGGACAUCCAAGUGUUUUCGACAUUGAUGAAGAUUUUGUCAAUCUCUCUCUUGGACCAAACCAAGAAAUGAUGGUUUUAAGAAGAUUAUAGGAUAUGUCAUAGAAUACGAAGACCCCACCACUGGAGGCAGGCUAAUGACUACCCAGUAGAUGAGUGUGUUUAUGAGGUGAAGGGAUUAAAAAAGGACAAGGAAUACAACUUCCACAUACAGGCCAAGAAUCUUGAAGGUUUUUAAAUUAGUGAGUCUAGUGAUGUGAUUGGUCCCAUAACUCCCAAGCCCAAAUACACCAAGGUUUUGCCACCUGGUGUACCAGAGGCUGUCAACAAUUCUAUAACUUAUCUGAAAUGGGAACCACCUAAACAUAAUGGUGGCUGUAAAAUUACAGACUACCUUGUAGAAGAGAGGUUUAAGGGAACAGAGAAAUGAGUACCCCUGCACUGACCCCUCUUUACUGUCACCGAUCUUCCUCAGGACUCAGAGUGAGAGUUUAGAGUUACAGCUGAUAACUUUGCUGGAAACUGUGAGCACAGUCUGUGCUCACCAGCAUACAAAAUCCAGGAGAAGAUUGAGUCUUUUGCAAUUGAGCAGGAUGAGGAAUCACACCAAUCAUUUGUAAAUGAAAGCAGCAGUCAUGAUGUUGUCAAUGAGAAUGAAUUUUAAAUAGGACAUGAUACAGGGCCACUUUUAAGUGAUGAAGCAGACGAGUAUGAUGAUGGUAAUGAUGAUGAAUCAUACCAUCCUUCAAGCGAUGAAAAAAGCUGUGAUGAAGAUACCAUUAAUGAUCUUGAUAUGCCCAGUAAGCCUCUCAAAUCUGAAAUGCAGCAGAAACAAGCUGCACUUGCAAGUGACAGCGAAAAGGACAGUGAAUGUGAAGAUGAUCAUGAUGAUGUCGGCAAAGUUUUACCACAGUCAGAGAAGCGAAAGACCAGGUUUUUAGAGGCCAAAAACAUCGUCUGGGAACUAUAAUAAUAAAAAACAUUCAUGUCUCUUUUGUGAGAAGUUUUGCCAGCAGGCAGUUGAUGGUAUGCAUAUCAUAUAAGCCCAUAGCUCUUUAAGUACAAAAAAUUGUGAGAUUCAUUUUUGCAUAUAGGUUCAGGAUGGAGCUGAAUAUUGAAAAAAUAUAUCCUAUAAAUUUUUUUUCAUGGACAUGUAGCAGACAGCUGUUUGCAUAAUUUAAGCAAGUAAUUAUUUUUUAACCAAAAUUUGUGAAAUUUAUCGCU